rnacentral:tRNA from 1 species
GGUGGCUCAGUGGUAGAGUGCUUGCCUAGCAGGCAUGAAGCCCUGGGUUCAAUUCCUCAGUACCA